UACGGAGGGGGCUAGCGUUGUUCGGAAUUACUGGGCGUAAAGCGCACGUAGGCGGCUUUGUAAGUUAGAGGUGAAAGCCCGGGGCUCAACUCCGGAAUUGCCUUUAAGACUGCAUCGCUAGAAUUGUGGAGAGGUGAGUGGAAUUCCGAGUGUAGAGGUGAAAUUCGUAGAUAUUGGGAAGAACACCGGUGGCGAAGGCGGCUCACUGGCUCAUUUCUGACGC
rnacentral:rRNA from 1 species